rnacentral:rRNA from 1 species
AAUGGGCGAAAGCCUGAUCCAGCCAUGCCGCGUGUGUGAAGAAGGUCUUCGGAUUGUAAAGCACUUUAAGUUGGGAGGAAGGGCAGUUACCUAAUACGUAAUUGUUUUGACGUUACCGACAGAAUAAGCACCGGCUAACUCUGUGCCAGCAGCCGCGGUAAU